GUUUGAGCCACUGAGCCCAGCCCAAACACAAGUAUCUUAAUUACUUAUUCGAAUGUUUUCCCACUAUAUCCCACUAGAGGGAGGGGAAAAAAAACAGAAAAUACAAAUAAAUUGCUGUCAAUUUUGAUUGGCUUUAUUUUGAUGUGAGUCAUUAACAUUUAAUAAGAACUUAAAAUCUAUUUUCAAAAAAUAAAACAAUAUAGUGAUUAAGAGUUCAUUCUCUAUUGUCUUGGUCAAAUUCUGUCAUUUAUUACAUGAAUAAUAUUGACAAAGUUGUCUUUAGUAUUCCUUUCUUUAAAAUGGAAGGAAUAAUGUUAUCCACUUCAAAGAACAGUAAUGAGGUUUAAGCAUUGAACACAGUGCCUGGCCUAUAUUAAGGGCUAACAAAUGUUUUCUACGUUACCGUUUGUUGUAAUUUACUAGAGCUUACCACUCUUCCUUCUUCUUAUGUAUUUUUUCUCUUUUCCUUUUCUUCUGCUUUUCCUUAUUCUUCUUAACCAUAAAAAUUCAAUAAAUGGUAGAUAAUGCCAGGAAAUACUCUAAAUGCUUCUUUUGUAUUAUCUGACUUAAUCCUCACCACAAUCUUAUAGGUUAGUACUAUCAUUAUUACAAUUUUACAAAUGGAAUAAUUGAGGCACUAAAAAGGUUGCUUAACCUGGUUGAUCACUGAGAUAGUGUUUUAUCUGAGAUUUGUAUUCAGAAAGAACUAUGUAGUCCUGCUCAUAAGCACUAUGCCAUAUUGCUUCUUACUUUAGUAUUUUUAACAUCAGAGCAAGGUUUUAUCUUAAGUUACAAUGCAACAUUAAAAUCUAAGUGGAAAUGAGAUUUAGAGCUUUAAUUUUUUAAAGGAUUGAGAAAGAAAGGAAAAAUCGUACAUACCAGCUUCAUGGAUGAGGUGAGAUAAUUAAGAGAAAGGAUACUGAAAGGCUAGAACAAAUGUCCUUGAGGCUGUCUGUGUCCGGUGCCUUCCCUAUAAGUAAAGGCAACAAGCUCUGUCUGUCCAGACAAACUCACUUGACUCAAGGUUAUGACUAUAAAACAGGACUCCACAACAACAUAGCUGUCCAUGUCCUUCCUUCUUUCGGUCAACCUCUUCUAAUCCUGCAAGUGUGAACUUUGCUUCAGCACGUGCUUCAGUCUAUGGAAACUGUCUCCUCCAAGCUCUGCAUCUCACUGAUUGUUCUGUUUUCAUGGAAGUCCAGAUGGCUGCUGGAGGUUUACUUGAGGUCUCUUUCUGUAGGAUAUAGUUAUACUUUUGUCAACUCGGUGGUACAUAAGUUUGUUCACUCUAAAAGAAGUUGCCUUAAAAAAAAAAGCUUUCAGAUGUUAGAGAGAACUGAGAUGCUGAUGUCAACACAUGAAAAAUUAGAUGCUUAACAAUGCAAGAAUACUUAUGGUAUAGAUUUUAACAUAAUUAUCAAUACAUUCCUUUCAGCUAUUUUCUCAUUUUAAUUGCAUACAGUUUAUGUCUUUGUUUUAUGUAGCUUUUUUUGAUGAAAAGAGAAUGGAAGCAGCAAGAUGAAAAUGAAAGAAUUAUGCAAAGGAACCGAAGCCUUGCCAAAUACAGAAUUUGUGGUUUCUACUUUGUGCAUGAUUUAUGCACAAUUACAUUUUUCAAUGUAUUAUCCUGCAAGCUACUUUGCUGUAUACUCCUGGUUUGUCUUUCUGGUGUCUGUGUUUGGAUUGAGACAAAUAUGCUUCUUUUGUUUUCAUUCUUGAAGCCAAUAACUUUUUAGGGAGAUGUGGAAUUUCUUUAUUUUAGAUUAAGCACUAUCCGUAAUUCCUUGUAUUACAUUUGGCUUGAUGUUGAAGAACUUUGUCACCACUCUGGUUGGUCUCCGCUGAACUUUUGCCAAGAAUAAAAGCAGAUCCACUUCAAAAGCUGAUCUUUUUUGCUGCUCAAGAUUAAAUCCAGAAUUUAGCUGGUUUCUGCCUUAGCUUGGUCAACAGAUAAAGGGUCAAGACUGGAAAAUUGCUUGUACCCCUAGGAGACAUGGAUAGGAAAAAAAGACUGAUGAGUUUUUAAGGUACAAACAGAGACCAUCACAGCACAUUUCACCACCUAGAUUAAAUAACUACUAGGCUGAAGAUGGAAAGUAAAAGGGAAGUCACAUAUUGAGCAAGAGAUGUUACCCCAAAGUCAAAGGAACACUUAUAUGGGGAAAUGGACAAAUACAAGCAGGCAGACAAUCAUGAUUAGGGAUGAUAUGUCAACAGGAAAUGGGAUCCAGCCAUCAGGCUCAGCUUUAUUGCUACGACUACAAGUCAGGAGAUUAUGAUCAUAGCAGAACUACAGUUCUAGAGGAUGCUAAAAAUGCACGCUGCCAAAUUGGUGGAGAGGUGUAGUGUUUGGCGCUGGCUUCUAGUGCAAAACUCUGUUACCAGAAGUCUUACUCAUGGAGGUAAGAAAGGGAAUUAAGGUAUUUGAAUGAGAAAGACUGGUGUUUAGGACAGGAAAACAUCAUCACGUUUAGAUGAACAGUCAGUCGGGGAAGCAUGAUGGAAAACCAUAUAAUGAUUCUAAAAGGGCUUGGAUAUGUCAUGUCUCAUGUCAGUAUUAGCCUUGGUGUUUGGAAGAGAAGCAGCAUAAAUGAUAGGAUUUAGUAUGGCCCACUGGGAAUUUUCUAAUAUUUAUCUUCUACCUCCUAGAGUAUGAAAUCAUGACAGAAAAUAUAAGCAGUUGUCUGACAUUCAAUUACUAGCUGAAAAAGGAAAGCAGAAACUAAUGCUCUCUAAUCAUACUUUAUAUCACAAAUGUGAGAUGAUUAUAAAACAUGCAACAUCCAUUUUCUCUAUCUGCAUGGGCAGUCUACAGAACUUUAACAAUAGUAUGUCUCCUUCUUUUUUUCUUUACCUAAGUCCAAGUGCUUCAAAUGUCCUUACCCUCCAGUUCAUAAAUGUCCUUACCCCCCAGUUCAUAAAUGUCCAUAAUUUCUACAUCUUCUUCAUCUCUAUUAAUAAUUUUUCUAUCUUAAUAACCUUGAUUUUAUUGAAAAAGUGAUGAACUCAUUUUUGGUGCAUUGCCUAAGACACAGGCUGUCAAAUCUUUCUUUCCAGGUAUUUUGUCCCAUUAAAAUCAGUGAAAAGAUUCUGUAUUUUUUUUUUCCUCGUGCUCUGUGGUUUUGUUCUGUUUUAUUUGGAGCUCCAAAACAUACAGUUAACCUUUAUGAAAACUAUUUCUUUUCUUCUUUUUUUUUUUUUUUUUUACUUCUGCUCAAAGGCCUUCCAAUCAAUGGAAUCAGUCCCACCCAGAUUAUCUAUGAUAAUCUCUUUUAAAGUCAACUGUAGAUGUUAAUCAUACCUACAAACUACUUUCAGAGCAACACCAAGUUUUUGGAACUGGGUAACAGGCAGAGGCUGGAACACUUUGGAGGGCUGAAAA
rnacentral:lncRNA from 1 species